CUAGAAGUAGCUUAUUUCAAAGUUUGGGAUUCUUACUCCCGGGAUGUUAGGUUUUAACCUUUUAGG